CCUACGGGAGGCAGCAGUGAGGAAUAUGGUCAAUGGGAGAGAUCCUGAACCAGCCAAGCCGCGUGAGGGAAGACGGCCCUAUGGGUUGUAAACCUCUUUUGUCGGAGAACAAAACCCCGGACGUGUCCCGGACUGCGUGUAUCCGCAGAAACAGCAUCGGCUAACUCCGUGCCAGCAGCCGCGGUAAUACGGGGGAUGCGAGCGUUAUCCGGAUUUAUUGGGUUUAAAGGGGGCGUAGGCGGGCCGUUACGGCAGAGGUAAAGUUGCGGGGCUCAACCCCGGCGAGCCGUGGAAACUGGCAGACUGGAGUGGGCGAGAAGUACGCGGAAUGCGCGGUGUAGCGGUGAAAUGCAUAGAUAUCGCGCAGAACUCCGAUUGCGAAGGCAGCGUACCGGAGUCAGACUGACGCUGAGGCACGAAAGCGUGGGGAGCGAACAGGAUUAGAUACCCUAGUAGUC
rnacentral:rRNA from 1 species